GGGGCCGGGCAGGUGGCCGAGCGCCGACCAGCCGCCGCGACCAGUCAGUGCGCGCCGUCCGGCAGGAGCCCAGCCGCCGCGCCCGCUCCGCCGACCCACAAUGACCGUGCCCGUGACCCGCCUGCUGGCCGCCGCGCUGCUGCUGAUCACCCUGCACCUGCACUCCGCCCAGGGUCAGGCAGCGGUCUGCUCGUCCAUUCAGUUCGCCUGCGCCAACAAGCGCUGUAUUCCCAGCUCAUGGGUGUGUGACGGCGAGAACGACUGUCUGGACGGCUCUGACGAGGAUAAGGCCCACUGUGGAGCCAAACCGGUCGAGUGUGACGACACCCAGUUCAAGUGCGGCAACGGUCGCUGCAUCAUCAAACGCUGGCAGUGUGACGGUGAUGAUGACUGCGAGGACGGUAGUGACGAGGACCCCCAGCUCUGUGCGGCGCGCGCCUGUGCCGACGACCAGUUUGCAUGCCGCGGGUCGGCGGGCGAGUGCGUGCCCGUCGUGUGGCUGUGUGACGGCGCAGAGGACUGCAGUGACGGCAGCGACGAGGCCAACUGUACCCAGACGUGUCCAGCCGACCAGUUUACCUGCGGUGACGGCCGCUGUAUCAACCAGCGCUGGGUGUGCGACCGAGAGAACGACUGUGAGGACGGCUCCGACGAGCAGGACUGCAAGCCGACCACCUGCAGCCCCGAUUCCCAGUUCACCUGUGCCAGCGGAGAGUGCAUCAACCUGAGCGCGCGCUGCGACGGUGACCGCGACUGCCACGACGGAAGCGAUGAGAAGGACUGCAUCCUGGACGAUCACUCUGUGCCCAGCAGCGUAUGCACACCGGGGGAGGUACUCUGUGACGACCAGAUCACCUGUAUUCACCGCAGCUGGAUGUGUGACGGCGCUCAGGACUGUCCACAUGGCUCCGACGAGGAUCCCGCCAAGUGCACCCCGCCCGUGUGCCGGGACGGGGAGUUCCAGUGCGGCGGCGUGUCCGAGUGUAUCGCCAGGAAGCUCGUCUGUAACGGUGCCGCCGACUGCCGCGACGCCAGCGACGAGGCCAACUGCACGGUGACCCCGCCCUGCGACCCGGACCAGCAGUUCAGCUGUGCCAACGGUCGCUGUGUGCAGAUCGAGCAGGCGUGUGACGGCUCAGACGACUGCGGCGAUGGCUCGGAUGAGAGCGAUCUGUGCCAGCUCAAUGAGUGCUCGCAGAAUAAUGGCGGCUGCAGUCACGGCUGCCGCAACCAGCCGGUCGGGCACAAGUGCUACUGCCCCAGCGGAUACCGGCUCAUGGAUGACCAGCGCACCUGUGACGAUAUUGACGAGUGCCAGAUCCCCGGGUCGUGCAGCCAGACCUGCAUCAACACCAAGGGCUCGUACAAGUGCGAGUGCCUCGAGGGAUACAUGCGUGAUCCGGCCGACCACACGUUCUGCAAGGCGGUGGAAGUGCACGCAUCACUACUGCUCACUCACAUGACCGAUAUCCGGAAGGUGGGCCUGUACCAGCGUGAGAUCACCGAAAUUGUCAACAACACCCGUGUGGCGACGGCCGUCGACUACGAGUUCCGCACCGGCAUGGUGUUCUGGUCGGACCUCAGCGACAACCGCAUCUACAAAGCGCCGAUUGACGAGGGAGCGGAGCGGACGGUGGUCGUGCGGAAUGUGAACGCCGAGGGUCUGGCCGUCGACUGGCUCUACCGCCACCUCUACUGGAUUCACGUGGAGAAGGACAACCACCGCAUCGAGGUGUCCGACCUGGACGGCAACUACCGCGCCACACUCAUCAGCAAGGACCUGAUGAAGCCCCGCUCUAUCGCUGUCGAGCCCAUCGAAGGCUGGAUGUUCUGGUGCGACUGGGGCGAGAACCCGCGGAUCGAGCGCGCCGGCAUGGACGGCAGCCGUCGUCAGGUCGUGGCCGACACGCGCCUCCAGUGGCCCAACGACGUCACGCUAGACCUGGUGAAGCGCCGCGUCUACUGGGUGGACGCCAAGCUGAAGCUGAUCGAGAGCGCCGACCUGGACGGAGCGAACAGGCGCAUCAUCAUCAGCAGCGGGAACACGCUCGACCAUCCGUUCGCCAUCACCACAUUCGAGGACUCUAUCUUCUGGAGCGACUGGAACAAGAUGAGCCUCUUCAAGGCUAACAAGUUCACCGGCUCGGCUGUCACCAGCGUGGCUCCCACCGGCAGACAGCGACGGUGUGAAGACCAUCGGCGCGCCCAAGGUCACCUCCCACCCGCGGCAGACGGCACCCGAUGGCGGGUCGUCAUCCGCCUUCCAGGAGUCCGCCUCGGAUGGCGUCAUCGCCGGCGUUGUCAUCGGCGGCAUCGCCUUCCUCUUCAUCGUCGUGGCCGGGCUCCUUUACAUGAUGUACCGUAUGGACCCGAGUCGGUUCCGUGGCUUCCGUAACAUCGAUAACCCCAUCUAUAAAAAGACGACCGUGGACGGAAUCAAGUUGGAAAAGUCGCGGAGUCCCGCUCAUGCUGGAAGGGGCAAUGAGGAGAGCAUGCAGCCGCUCAACAGCCGACCGCAGCACGUGGUCUGAACACCGGCCCACCUCCUUCUGUGAUACGCCCACGCACCUGGGGCCGAGGGCCGCCCGCCCGCCCGCCCGCCUCAGCCUCAGUCUCAGCCUCAGCCAUGUCUAGUCCACGCGCUUGCCGCUAGUGGCGCUAGUGUCGCCGCUGGCACCGGGUCGCGGUCCUCCCGAGCCGCUCACCGUGUGGUGUGACGCACGAAGGACCACUCCUGGGCCAAUCAAGCACGUGUCUCUGUGGUGGGGCUGGCGGCGCUGGGCGUCGCCAUACUGCGCUGGACCGCACGCUGUUCCCGCACCAGGGUCCAACUCAGUGGGCGGCCCGUGAGACGCGAGAAGGCGGCUCGUGAGACGCGCAGGCGCCUCGCCGACAGUCAGUGACUCUUGCGGACGGCGCCAGGGCGGUGCGACCUAACGGCGAAAAAGGGAGGGGCUUUAAACUGUAUCGUGCUCAGUACGGUCCUGUGUCGGCGCCAAAAGGAAUAUCCUUAUUAUAAUGUCUUCCCUUGGCUCAACAGGGGCAGACUCGUGCAUGCAGAACUAUUUAUUUGCUCCCCGCACUCUAGCUGCUUGUUCUCGGUUGAUAUUUUGCAUGCGCAGCGGAGCGGCGACCGACUGGCCGACCGAUAGUACGUUGUUAGGCCUAUAAUUGAUAGGAACCAGGUCAUUGUGAUACGGCGAGGUCGGCGGCGCCGUCGUUUUUCGACGUCGCUGGCCGGCGGCAGUGCGGUAGACCCACUGGUCUCGUGCGUGUUCGUGUUUGUCUGCGUGUGUGCGCGUGUCGGUGUGCGUGCGUGCGUCUCGUGCCACGGCUCGCGAUAUUAUUGUGUUCGAUGGUGUCCUGCGGCCGAUUUGCCCGUGUCCUAGGGUGUGUUGUGUAGGUCGCCGGCGGCAGCAAGGGCUGGUCGACAGAGCUUUCGCUAUGCUAGUUGUUUGAGUUUGAGAGCGCGCGAACGACGACCGAGUGGCGCGACGGAUCCCAUAUUUAUUUUGUACAUAUCGAUUAGCAUGUGUGCGAAACUGUCAUUAAAGAGGUCAACUCGGCCGUGCCCCGAGGCUAUGUCACCGCGCGCUUCAUAUAUUUGGGCUUCGGCCGCCAUCCCCGUCUGACCGUCACUAACCAGUGGCCGGCCAGAAACCGGAAAUAGACACCAUUUUUGAAGA
rnacentral:misc_RNA from 1 species